rnacentral:tRNA from 2 species
AGGAGUGUAGCUCAGUUGGUAGAGCAGCGGUCUCCAAAACCGCCGGUCGCGGGUUCGAAUCCUGCCACUCCUGCCA